rnacentral:sRNA from 1 species
CUUUAAUAAUCUGGAACAAGCUGAAAAUUGAAAACAACACACAUUGUUUAUCGCUUAAACAAUGUGAGAGUCUCUCAAAAAUCUCAACGUGAAGAUGUUCUCUGUUACGAUGACACAACGUCAU